CGGACGGGUGAGUAACGCGUGAGAAUCUGCCAAAAGGACGGGGACAACAGGGGGAAACCGCUGCUAAAACCCGAUGUGCCGGAAGGUAAAAAAUUUAUUGCCUUUUGAUGAGCUCGCGUCAGAUUAGCUAGUUGGUGAGGUAAAGGCUCACCAAGGCGACGAUCUGUAGCUGGUCUGAGAGGACGACCAGCCACACUGGGACUGAGACACGGCCCAGACUCCUACGGGAGGCAGCAGUGGGGAAUUUUCCGCAAUGGGCGAAAGCCUGACGGAGCCAGACCGCGUGGGGGAGGAAGGCUCUUGGAUUGUAAACCCCUUUUCUCAGGGAAGAAAAAAAUGACGGUACCUGAGGAAUCAGCAUCGGCUAACUCCGUGCCAGCAGCCGCGGUAAUACGGAGGAGGCAAGCGUUAUCCGGAAUGAUUGGGCGUAAAGCGUCCGCAGGUGGCUUAUCAAGUCUGCUGUCAAAGAGCAAGGCUCAACCUUGUCAAGGCAGUGGAAACUGAAAAGCUAGAGUGUGGUAGGGGUAGAGGGAAUUCCCAGGUGUAGCGGUGAAAUGCGUAGAGAUCGGGAAGAACAUCGGUGGCGAAAGCGCUCUACUGGACCUGCACUGACACUGAGGGACGAAAGCUAGGGGAGCGAAUGGGAUUAGAUACCCCAGUAGUC
rnacentral:rRNA from 1 species